rnacentral:rRNA from 1 species
ACGGGAGGCAGCAGUGAGGAAUAUUGGUCAAUGGAGGAAACUCUGAACCAGCCACGCCGCGUGCAGGAAGAAAGCCCUAUGGGUUGUAAACUGCUUUUAUGAAGGAAUAAUUUUUCUACGUGUAGAAAAUUGAAGGUACUUCAUGAAUAAGUAUCGGCAAACUCCGUGCCAGCAGCCGCGGUAAUACGGGGGAUACGAGCGUUAUCCGGAUUUAUUGGGUUUAAAGGGUGCGUAGGCGGUUUAUUAAGUCAGUAGUGAAAUCUUAUAGCUUAACUAUAAAACUGCUAUUGAUACUGGUAAACUCGAGUGAUAUUGAAGUAACUGGAAUGUGUGGUGUAGCGGUGGAAUGCAUAGAUAUCACAUAGAACACCAAUUGCGAAGGCAGGUUACUAAGUAUUUACUGACGCUGAGGCACGAAAGCAUGGGGAGCAAACAGGAUUAGAUACCCUGGUA